rnacentral:miRNA from 1 species
AUAUGUUUUAGACGUGUUCAGG